AUGCCUAUUCGAGCGUCAUUACAACCCUUAAGCCUUGUAGCUUAG
rnacentral:rRNA from 1 species